UACGUAGGGGGCAAGCGUUGUCCGGAUUUAUUGGGCGUAAAGAGCUCGUAGGUGGUUUGGUAAGUCGGAUGUGAAAUCUCCAGGCUCAACCUGGAGGGGUCAUUCGAUACUGCCAUGACUAGAGGUCGGUAGGGGAGUGUGGAAUUCCUGGUGGAGCGGUGAAAUGCGCAGAUAUCAGGAGGAACACCGGUGGCGAAGGCGGAUCUCUGGGCCGUAACUGACGCUGAGGAGCGAAAGCAUGGGGAGCGAACAGG
rnacentral:rRNA from 1 species